UCUCCCGUGAGGGAGCAGUCUCGCCUGACACUUAUAACAGGCAACGAGGGUUGCGUUCGUUACCCCACUUAAGGGAACAAUUCAAACCACGAACUGACGACGGCCAUGCAUCACCUGUCUACCCGUCCGAAGAGGGCCAAUUUUUCAAAAGGCUUUCGUGUAGAUUUCUUGCCUUGGUAAGGUUCCUCGCUUAACGACGAAUUAAGCCUCAUGAUCCACCGCUUGUGCAAGUCCCCGUCUAUUCCUUUGAGUUUUAACCUUGCGGUCGUACUACCCAGGCGGCCCGCUUAACGCGUUAGCUUCGUCUCCCAGAGGGUCGAUACUCCGGAAAACCAGCGGGCAACGUUUAGGGCGUGGACUAC
rnacentral:misc_RNA from 1 species